rnacentral:rRNA from 1 species
AGGAGGAGCGAAUCNCAAAACUCGGUCCCAGUUCAGAUUGCAGGCUGCAACUCGCCUGCAUGAAGUUGGAAUUGCUAGUAAUCGCGAAUCAGAAUGUCGCGGUGAAUACGUUCCCGGGUCUUGUACACACCGCCCGUCGCACCAUGGAAGUCUGCAAUGCCCGAAGCCGGUGGCCUAACCACUUAUGUGGAAGGAGCCGUCUAAGGCAGGGCAGAUGACUGGGGUGAAGUCGUAACAAGGUAUC